rnacentral:tRNA from 1 species
UGGGGAGUCGUCUAGUGGUAGGACUCUGGAUUCUGGUUCCAGGUACAGAGGUUCGAAUCCUCUCUCCCCAGCCA